GUGAUUGAUCGUGAGUAUUUUUUUCUCCUAUUACGCAAUUUUACACAAUUGUAGGAUACAGCCAGUUUUUAAUAUCUUUAAACAAAACAACACUGGGUGGAUGUUUUUAAAAUCAUGAUACGUAUUACCAGUACCGUUUGAACUAGUGCAGUUAGUUUUAGUAUAAUGUAUUGCAGAACAAUUGCAUUACUGGAAAAUAGUGUAAACAAAUAAAUGCGUUUUUAUAAUUUUCAAAUACUACAAAUGCUGAAGAUAGAUUGCAGGCAUCUAGUAACUGGUUAAACUUGUAUUAUAGUUCGUACCUGUGUGUCUUCUGUCUAUCUUGACUAUGUGUUGAUUUCAAUUAUUUGUUCGUAUAUAAAUAUAUACUAUAUGAAACUCCUGUUUCAUUAUAUAGAAAUAGAUCAGAUUUUGUAUAAUUAGCCAAGACAAAACUUUCAUUUUUAGAUUAAAGGAUAUGUACAGCUUACGGUCCCUGUAUGGCGUUCAAGUUAACUGAAAAAGUAAAAUAAGAAGGAAAAAAUCCGAGGAAAAAACAAAACGAAAAGUCCCUAAUCAAAUGGCAAAAUUAACAACUCAAACACAAAAACCGAAUGAACAACAACUUUCAUAUUCCUGAUAUGGUACAGGCAUGUUCUUAUGUAGAAAAUGGUGGGUUAAACCUGGUUUUAAAGCUUGAUAAAACUCUCACUUGUAUGGCAGUCGUAUAAAAAUCCAUUAUAUUGACCACGAUUUGUGAACCAAACAAACUGACAUCAUAGGUAAAAAUGUCAAAAAUUGGGAUACAGCAGUCAACGUUGUGAUAUUAUCUUAAUCAAUAUAAAAACAAACAGAUAUAUUAACAAACAUUUACCAUGACACAACAACACAAUGACGGGAUGUAUAAGUACAGAGCCACGUCACAUACAAAAACGAAACACAAAAAGGCACACAAACAACGCAAAUAUCAAAAACGAAAAACAAGAAUACAGAGAUAAUCAUAGAAAAAAACGCAAUAACGAGAUGUAUAAGUACACAGCUACUUCAUAUGUAACUACGAAACACAAAAAGGUAUACAGAAAAAGCAUUUUAGAAAAAUGAAAGACAAAAAUUAGACAGAACAAUAACACGAUGGCGGGAUGUAUAUUAAGUUCCAAGCCACAUCAAAUUGAUACCACCAAAAGAAGACUAAGAAUAAAAGUAACACACAUUUUGCGUUUCUUUCUAUAAAAGAUAAACAGAACAUUUUGAAAUAAGAAAAUCGGAAUCUGUCUUUGCCACGAAAGGGGGACGAUUGUGAUUCCAAUAUAUUCAUAUAUCCGUAAUGAAUGAAUACAUGACUUUUAGACUGUUCAAAUGUAAGAUGUCAACAUGGUGGUGUGUGCCGAAGUAGUUUUCGAGGUUUCCACUGUUACUGUACCACUGGUUAUAACGGAACUUACUGUCAGAGUAGUAAGUAUAUCGUCCAUUAUUUAUAAUUUGUAUAUACCUAGUAAACAUUUUCGUGGUGUCAGUGUGCAUAAUGACAGUUCAAUUUACUGUAAAGUAGUAAGUAAAUCUUGAUGAUGGAAGUUUUAAACGACCUUGACCGACUAUAAAGUAAAGUAAAUCGUGCAUUAUUUCAACGUUUUAUGUACAUCAUGUACAUAGAAGACAUAUUCCUGGUGUCAGUGUGCAUAAUGACAGUUUGAAAGUUCAUCAACUUGAACGAGUGAUCUUUAAUUGACAUGAAGCAAAAAAAAAAAUUUUGUAUCAUAAUGUGGUAAGGGAACAUAAGGUAUAGAAUGCUCAUUGACCGCCACCUAGUAUUAAAUUCUCACCUAGUGACUUUAAAAAUAAAGGUUAAAAAAGGCAAAUUAUUAGACGACAAACCUCUUUCUUGCAAAACAUAGAAGUUCAUUUGAUGAAUUGAAUAGAGCGACAACUACCUUGCGAUUUAAUCAAAAAUGUCGACAGGUAUUCAUUGAGCAUGAUCAUGAUAAAAAGGUAGAAAUUGUUUAGAUAAUAGUGUACUUCGAUGAAUGAUUCAUAAUAAGUUCAAAAACUUCAAACUGUCACUUACUCGAAGUGAAAACUACACUUAUAAAUGAAUUUAACAAUUAGAAAAUAUUCAUAAAAAUGACAUGACAUAAAGUAUGCAUGACUUUUAAAACCUUUUCCUCAUAACAUUUCUGCGAAAAAAUUACAGCUGUUUGCUUUGCUUUACUUUAAUUUUCAUGAACGUUAUUAAUUACAGUUUGUAUGUUAAAUAAUAUAUACAAUUGUAUGUUGAUAGGUACAGCAACCAAACCAUCUGUUUUAACGACAAGUGAGUACAAUGCUAGCACUUAAAUUUGAUUUGUUUGAUCAUAUAAGCAGAUUGGUCCGUCAUUGUGACUCUUUGACUUUUGUUGUUAAAUUCAAAGACAUAGGUCGAAAAUAUUUUGUGUUGUUGUAGAAAUUCUAGCAGAUUGCUUUCCGGAAUUACUUACUAAAUUCAUAUGUACGGGAGGCUUUGAAUCAUACAACCAGUUUUAUCCUUCACUAUGGUACAAGGAAAAACAUACCAAUUGUACUGUAUGCAAAAUACACUAAAUGUCAUAAAAAAAAAUUCCCACAUUAUUUUGUGUAAGUUUUAAUAAGUUCAUUUACAGACAGGAAGACACCUAAUUCUAGAACGCAAUCGUAAAUCUGAAAAAUGUAUUUUAGUAACCAUUAUCAUGACUAAAUUUUAACCUUAUAGCUAGAACCAAAAUAUCUUAUAUAUUUGACUCGAAGUAUAUAAUUUUGAAAUGAUAUAGUCUAUUAUUCAUAAUUAAAUUAUCUAUUCACUUCUUUCUAUCUUAUUUUAAAACAAAACUGUGAUAUGUUCCCAUUUAUUUUAGCUUUUCUCCUCCCUACUACAGCUCUUCCAACUAUUCCAACGACAGGUAAAUAUUAAAACCCUUGCUGAAGUUUUCAGUGUUAAUUGUUAACAUAAGAAGAUGUGGUUUGAUCGCCAAAGCAACAGAUCACUACAGGAGAUCAAAUGACAAAGAAAUUCACAACUAUAGGUCACCGUACGACAUUCAACAGUUUGAUUGUUCGUGGGUUAAUAAGUUUAUGAACAAAAUGGAAAACACACCACGUUUUCGGCCGAUAGAAAACUAUUUGACAUGUCAUUAUCAUGGUUACAUUUUUUCUUGCUAGACAGAAACAAAUAUCUUACAACGAUAUAUAUUUGGACCUAAUUUAAGGUAGCACAAUACAAAGAUUUUUCAUCCCCAAUCAGACAUCUUUAAACUGACGUAAUUCCACUCAUCCUUCUUUAAAUUUUAUAAAUGAGGUACCAAAAGAAAGAAGAAUGAUUAAUCUUUAAAUUGUGAUAAUUUCAUUAUGACAUAAUAAUUACAUAAUUAAUUGUUAUGUAGUUAGUUGCUAUAUUGUGAUGUCCAUACUUGAAUGAAUUUAGCUUCUUUGUUAUUCAUAGCAUCCCAAAAUAUUUUAUAGAUUCUUGCACAGCACAGUUUGACCUCCAAAACUGUGUCUCAGAUUUUUCCUAUUGUAUUUCAUUCUCUCAUAAAUCUUCAAUGAAAUUUGCAACAUCAAUUCAUAAGAGAUCACUAAAUUCAAUGUGGUAUAAAAUUUGUUCUAUUGAUGUUUUUGGAAAUCUGAGACACAGUUUUGGAGGUCAAGCUGUGUUGUACAAGAAUCUAUAAAAUAUUUUGGGAUGCUAUGAAGAACAAAGACGCUAAAUUCAUUCAAGUGUGGAUAUCACAAUAUAGCAAUUAAUUACAUAAUAAUUGAUUAUGUAAUAAUUAUGUCAUAUUGAAAUUAUCACAAUUUGAAAGAUCAAUUUUUCCUCCUUCUUUAAGUUUAAACAUAUUUAUUUAUAGUGGAUUGGGAAACAAGUUUUGCAACUUAUAUUAAUCCCUUUCCACUUUGCGGGUGCGAGUGCUGCCUUGUAGCGGCAUUAGCCUACUCUUUUUCGAAAUCUACAAGGGUGUCUUUAACGUGCAAGAGAUAUGGCUCUCUCUUAACACGGGUCAGCCAUGUAUCGUCCCCUUCCGACGGACUAUCAUCGUUUCCUCAAGACCAUACUCGCAGAUGGUGUCAAGUUCCUGAAAUUUUCAUCCCAAACGGGAAUCGAACCAGGAACCUUUGUGUCAGUAGUCCGAUGCACUAACCACUACACCACGGCUUCUUUUGGUACAUGUACCUCAUUUAUAAAAUAUAAAGAAGAAUGAAAUGAAUUACAUCAAAUUAACGUUGUCUGAUUGGGAGUGAACAAAUCUUUGUAUUGUGCUACCUUAAAUAACAGUUUAUCGCUUUUAAUCUAAUUUUAUCAGAGAAGUUGUAUAGAUAUUAAGAAAUCUGAUCUGAUCUUAAAACAAAAAUGUGAUAUGUUUACAUUUACUUUUAGCUUUACCUCCCACUACUACAGCUAUUCCGACUCUUCCAACCACAGGUAAAUAUUUAAUUUAUUACUUAAUUUUUAAUUACCAUAGUAUGUUGAUAGCAACCAAAAGACAACUGUUUAAACGCGAG
rnacentral:lncRNA from 1 species